CUCAUUGUAAAUGACUGAUGACCUUUCCGGAGCAGAAUAGGUGGAAGUAUAGUGACAAGAGUUGGGAAGCGGUUGCUUAUUCUGUUCAGUUCUACAGGGCCCAUCAUGGAACGAUGAUGAUGAUGAUUAUGAUGAUUAUAUGGAGGGUCAAUUCCUGAUUCUUCAAUGAGAAAAAAAGCAAACUUAUCAUCCACUAUCCAGGAGAAUCAUAAGGAGAAAUAUCUUAUGGGUCUCUAAUAUGUUCGUGGGGAUUCUCUCAAGGCUGUAGAUUUAUGAACAAUGUCGUCACCAACAGUUGAUAGAGGUACCUAUACCAUGUGAAUUUUAAUUAUUUUAAAUUUGAAACUGUCAAGAUAAAUAUCAACCUUUUUGGACUUUAAUCUUGAUGCGUGUAAUACACAUUAUUUUCGAGGCCUUCCUAUGGUUAACCCUUUGCAGCAGGAAACUUUCCAUUAAUUCAUUUUUAUGUCAUCCAAACAAGUUCAUGGAAGACGACUUAAUCUAUGAGUUCUUACUUCUAAGCUCUCCAAAUAGACGUCAUCUUAUAGUCUUGAAUGAUUUCUUUUUUCAAUUUGGUGUUAUUCAUAGAUGCCUCCUAGAGUUCAACAUCCGGUAGAUAGGAGAAUUAGCCAAACUAUGGAGUUAAUUUUUCUUCAUAUUGAACAUUCAUGAUGGCCAUUUACUAGAUUCUGUGAGCUACUUCAAUUUCUCUUUAUAGACUAUAGAGAGAA